GCUUGGGUCCCCUUCCAUGCUGUGGAAGCUUUGUUCUUUCACUCUUCACAAUAAAUCUUGCUGCUGCUCGCUCUUUGGGUCCAUGCCACCUUUAAGAGCUGUAACACUCACUGCAAAGGUCCGCAGCUUCAUUCUUGAAGUCAGUGAGAUCAAGAACCCAGAAGGAACCAACUCCGGACACAUCUUGGUGACCCAAAUGGUACUAUUGCCAAGUGGAAGCCCAGAGGCAGAGUGGGCACCACGGUUGAUUGACUGAGCAGGAUGACAUUGUCGCCACCUCUCCAUUCUGCCAUCCUAAUGGGGGCUUCGUUUUCAAGCUGAUAGCAAGAUGGCUACAGAAGCUCCUAACAUCACAUCAUGAGAUAGGAUGUGUUUCCUUCUGUGGCUUUCUUUUAAAAGAAAAAGGUAAGUCUGGGCACAGUGUCUCAUGCCUGUAAUCCCAGCACUUUGGGAGGCUGAGGCAAGAGGAUCACUUGAGCCCAGUAGUUCAAGACCAACCUGGGCAACAGAGGGAGACCUCAUCUCUACAAAAAGAUUAAAAAAUUAGCCAGGCAUGGUAAUGCAUACCUGUGGCCCCAGCUACUUGGGAGGCUGACGCUGGAGGGUCACUUGAGCCUGGGAGGUAGAGGCUGCAGUGAGUCAUAAUGGCACCACUGUACUCCAGCCUGGGUUUCCUCCUUAGACUUUUAAAUCUUUAUUGGCCAGAAUUAGUCUUUUGGCAAAGGGAGUGGGUUUCCCUUAGACCGAUCAAUUUCACCUCUGAAGCUGGGGGUGGGAUCAGCUUCCUCUCACUGCUUGGAAAUAAGCGAAUGUCUGAAUGAUGUUGCAGUUCCAUCAACAACCAUCCUGAAAGGGGUGGGAAAAUGGUAGAGAAUGAAUACUGAGUAGCCAACCAAUAAUGACCACUACAACUAUUGUAGACAAAGACUAAGAACUGAGAGAGGAUGACACAAGACAAUACAAGAGGCAGAGCCUGGAAAGACCCAUUGAGGUAAUUUCCUGUUUAAAGAGCCUGUCCAUGGCCAUCAUGCUUGCAAUUCCAGCACUUUGGAAAGCCAAGAUGGGAGAAUCCCUUGAGUCCACAAGUUUGAGGCUGCACUGAGCUAUGAUUGCACCACUGCAUUCCAGCCUGGGCAACAGAGGGGGAGACCGUGUCUCAAAAACAAAAAUCAUAAUGAGCCUGGCCAAGCCCACUGAUGGGGAGAGAGUUGUGGAGGACAGCAAAUACCACCCUAGUCCCUCAUUAAUCUUUCUUUUGUGGUUGGAAAGGAAUACGAUUAUGCUAAAUUCACUUGGUGGAAAACUUUAACCCACUAGGAGCAUUAUGAAUAAGAUGGAAUGAUGUCAAGAGCUGUGAAGUGUCUGAGAUUUUACCCUACUUGCAAU
rnacentral:lncRNA from 1 species